UAAAACACAUCAUUUCUUCUUUUUUCCAGACAAAUGUUAUGUUAUGAUAGGAGAGUCCCAUUAGAUGAAAUGUGUAGCAGAAUUCAAUCCCUUACUGGUGAUGAUGUGAGACAGAUUUGUUACAAAUAUAUCUAUGAUAAAUGUCCAGUAGUUGCAGCUAUAGGACCAAUUGGUGGAUUGAUGGAUUACAACAGGUUACGAGCAUCUAUGUACUGGUUAAGAAAAUAAACAAUUAUUUAUUACAAUUAAGACUGUUUACUGUAGGUGUAAAACCUAU